rnacentral:lncRNA from 1 species
AUGAGGAUUCCAGUGCCUACGGAAAUACUAACUUUAUUAUGGAAUAGGAAAGGAAGGAAAAGCAAUGGUUGCAUUUCACUUACAAACAUUAGUGCAACCAACUGUGGUCAAAACCAAUCUGGCAAAGUUGAACUGCACAGAUCCAACAUUGCCCCUCCAGCCUUCCAAAAGGAGACUCCAGCUUCAAAGAGUCACAGGGCUGACAUCAAAGGAGCAAACUUAAAGCAGUGUUCUCCUCAGGGUCCUGACACGGCAGCUGACAGGGCCAACAGCACUCCUGCAGGAAAACCUGGGAGGGGAGAAGUCCAGGGGAACUUUUCACCACAGCGCUUGAAGAUAAUGAUUACAAAGUUAAGGCAAGGCAAAGUCUCUUGUUCUUGUGGAGUUACUGGUUUCAGGGGAUUUUUUUUACUUAAGUACUCAAGGUGUGCAGAGCUCUUUCCCUUCUCCACAGCCACUGCCUAGAGCUGUACUUGCAUCAAUCUGUUUAUUUGUAACAAAUCAGUUUUAGAAUCUGUUUUAAAAGCAGCCUUGACGUGCAAAUUGGUAAUAUGGCCUAAGUACUAACAGCUUGUGUAUUUGAUUAUAAACAUUAUAACUUGCUCAAAAUAGACUUACAUGGGUUUGGUUGCACUCCA